rnacentral:lncRNA from 1 species
AUUUCUGGGAUGUCCUAUCUACCCUUCGGUCCUAACGACCGAACUUGGGGACUAUUCCCCUCCUAAUACCACUAUCACAUAUAACAUAUCAUGCCAGCAUAUAAACAUAUCAUCGCAUACUGUCAGACAUAUCUGGGGUGUCUGACCUACCCUUCGGUCCUAACAACCGAACUCUACUACUAUCACAUAUACAUAUCAGGCCAGCAUAUAAACAUAUCAGGUAGUAGCAAACCUAGAUGAUAUCACAAAGACAAUCAUCUAACAUACAACUCCUACUGGUGGGCCGGCAUUGUGGCCGUAGACCCACUGCUACUGGAAGGUAACUCACCUCAAAGUAGUUGCUGAUCUGCGUAGGAACUGACUGUCUUCUUCUGCUGUUGCCCCGGAAAUCCUCCGGCUAUAAUUCCCACAAAACACUCAGUCAAAUACUGCUAACCGGCCUCAGGGUAAAAUGACCAUUUACCCCUAACCAAACCAAGAGUCAAAGUCAAAGUCAACCUCCAGUUGACCCGACUCGCCGAGUUGGCUUGCCAACUCGCCGAGUCCCUAUCCAUUCGAUGGACCAUAAUCCCGUCUCUACUCGUUGAGUUAGGCAUUGACUCGACGAGUUUUCUUCUAACCGAUGUCCAAUUGUCCUUCAUCCUACUCGCCGAGUUGUAUGAACACCUCGCCGAGUCUGUUCUUGAGGCAAGAAGAUUGCCUGGGACUCGCUGAGUUAGGGCAUUGACUCGCCGAGUUUCUUCAUGGUUGAGUCUAGCUUCCGACUCACUGAGUCACACCCCAUGCCUCACUACUCCACUCCGCAAACACGAAAAAGGGGGAAAACUCGGGGACUCGCGACUUGACUCGCCGAGCCUGAUGAACGACUCGCCGAGUCUUUCACAUGCAAUUACUAUACACUCGAUUUUGCUUGAAUCAAGCUCAUGCCACACAUAGAUAUGGGUUUCUAGGGCUUGAUUAACACGUAAAGUUUCCAAGUUUACGUGUAAAUAAACACCAAUGAAGGUUUUAGCGCUCAAAAUGCACAAAAGGAGUAGAUCUAGGGCUUUCAUGCAAUAUGGAUCCAUAAAGGCAGUACAUCCGAGCUCCUGCAGCUCAAUCAUGCCUAGAUCUUAAGGUUAAUCAACUUAUUACAAACCCUAAAUCAUACCCAAGCUUGGAAACAGCUCAAUAAGGAUUUUAAUGGAGCUAUAAGUGACUAUAAGCAUGAAAACAGAGGGAAACUGAGUUAUACCUCAAGGAAAUCACUGAAAUAACACCAAGAUGUCGGGCCUCCUUCUUCUCUUCUUGAUCUACUCUCCUUUUCUCUCAAAAUCUUUAUGAAAACACACCAAAUCACUUCAAUCUCACAAGGAACAAGGGUUGGAUGAUAUAGGGAGCUCUGAGGGUGAAGGGGGUGAGCUUGGGGGUGCACAAGGUGACUUAAAUAUGGUGCAAACCCUUGAAAUUAGGGUUUCAUCAGACACCGAUAGGAAUUUAUUAAAAAUUAAAUUAUUAUGUAAUCAAAUAAAGAUAGAUAUUAAAUGAUUUUCAUAAUUUUAUGUAUAUUAAAUGAUAUUGUAACAUCCUAAAAAUACGAGCCAAAAAUUUCAUUUUUAGAACAUAUACUUUGCAAAACAUUAGAAAUAAAACAUUCACCAAUCAUAUCAUUUCACAAAAGAUGUUGUGUGUCUGAAUUUUUUUUUUUAAAAGAUAAUAAUGUCAGUGUACAAAUCCCCAGGAAGAUCUCAUAGUGCGGAAUACAAGCAUGUAUGUGAUGUGCCGCUACCGCGCCAGCUCCUUCCCCUUCGAAGAAGAGGUACCUAAAACCAAAACUGAAAACUGUAAACACAAAGCUUAAUGAGUUCCCCCAUCUUACCACAUACCAUACAAUCACAUAUCAUACAUACUGUCGAGCAAUUCUGGGGUGCCCGACCUACCCGGUACGGCCAUUCUGGGGUGCCGAUCUACCCGUGUCAAGCCGUUUUGGGGUGCUGACUACCCAUGUCAAGCCAUUAUGGGGUGUUGACUACCCAUCGGUCCUAACAAACGAUCCUCGGGGACUAUUUCACCCCCUACUACUACUAUCACAUAUAUCAUAACAUAACAUAUUAUCAGACAUUUCCGGGGUGUCCUAUCUACCCUUCGGUCCUAACGACCGAACUUGGGGACGAUUCCCCUCCUAAUACCACUAUCACAUAUAACAUAUCAUGCCAGCAUAUAAACAUAUCAUCGCAUACUGUCAGACAUAUUUGGGGUGUCUGACCUCCUUCUUCUCUUCUUGAUCUACUCUCCUUUUCUCUCAAAAUCUUCAAGAAAACACACCAAAGCACUUCUAUCUCACAAGGAACAAGGGUUGGAUGAUAUAGGGAGCUCUGAGGGUGAAGGGGUUGAGCUUGGGGGCACAUAAGGUGACUUAAAUAUGGUGCAAACCCUUGAAAUUAGGGUUUCAUCAGACACCGAUAGGAAUUCAGUAAAAUUUAAAUUAUUAUGUAAUCAAAUAAAGAUAGAUAUUAAAUGAUUUUCAUAAUUGUAUGUAUAUUAAAUGAUAUUGUAACAUCCCAAAAAUACGAGCCAAAAAUUUCAUUUUUAGAACAUAUACUUUGCAAAACAUUAGAAAUAAAACAUCGAUCAUAUCAUUUCACAAAAGAUGUUGCGUGUCUGAUAAACCCUUUUUUAAAACAUAAUAAUGUUAGAGUACAAAUCCCCAUGAAGAUCUCAUAGUGCAGAAUACAAGCAUGUAUGUGAUGUGCCGCUACCGCGACAGCUCCUGUCCUUCGAAGAAGAGGUACCUGAAACCAAAACUGAAAACUGCAAGCACGAAGCUUAGUGAUUUCCCCCAUGUUACCACAUACCAUCCAAUCACAUAUCAUAUAUACUGCCGGGCAAUUCUGGGGUGCCCGACCUACCCUGUACGACCAUUCUGGGAUGCCGACCUACCCGUGUCAAGCCGUUCUAGGGUGCUGACUACCUAUGUCAAGCCAUUCUAAGGUGCUGACUACCACCGAUCCUCGGGGACUAUUUCACCCCUACUGCUACUAUCACAUAUAUCAUAACAUAACAUAUUAUCAGACAUUUCUGGGGUGUCCUAUCUACCCUUCGGUCCUAACGACCGAACUUGGGGACUAUUCCCCUCCUAAUACCACUAUCACAUAUAACAUAUCAUGCCAGCAUAUAAACAUAUCAUCGCAUACUGUCAGACAUAUCUGGGGUGUCUGACCUACCCUUCGGUCCUAACAAUCGAACUCUACUACUAUCACAUAUACAUAUCAUGCCAGCAUAUAAACAUAUCAGGUAGUAGCAAACCUAGAUGAUAUCACAAAGACAAUCAUCUAACAUACAACUCCUACUGGUGGGCCGGCAUUGUGGCCGUAGACCCACCGCUACUGGAAGGUAACUCACCUCAAAGUAGUUGCUGAUCUGUGUG